GCGGGGAUAGCUUAGUCGGUAGAGCAUCCGCUCGGUAUUCGGAGGGUCGCCGGUUCGAUUCCGGCUCUCGGCG
rnacentral:tRNA from 1 species